UACGAAGGGGGCUAGCGUUGCUCGGAAUCACUGGGCGUAAAGCGCACGUAGGCGGACUCUAGUACGGUGUGGAAAUCCUGGAGCUCAACUCCAGAACUGCCUUCGAUACUGACGAGUCUCGAGUCCGGGAGAGGUGAGUGGAACUGCGAGUGUAGAGGUGAAAUUCGUAGAUAUUCGCAAGAACACCAGUGGCGAAGGCGGCUCACUGGCCCGUACUGACGCUGAGGUGCGAAAGCGUGGGGAGCAAACAGG
rnacentral:rRNA from 1 species